CUGCACUGUUCGUAAUCCAUUUCAGCUGUCAGUCUGAAACUUGGGUUCCAUUCCAGUGCCACAGUGUGCUCCAGUGUGGCAGGGGAGCAGUGCCUGUUUCACGCUGUCUCCCUGUUCUCACUCUGGGAACAAGA